GGUGGAGUUCUGUUUUGAGCCUAAUGGUGUUGUUCCUGUUUGUUUAUGCAGAUUCUGUAUGCAAGCAGGUCUGCCAUUACCCUGAUCCUGUAACAAGUUUUAACGUUGCACCAGACUUGAUGAAUCAAGCAAAAGAUUAUUUGAACAAAACUAUGUCCGUUAUAUUGUUGGUUAGGGCGAGUGUUUUAGAAUAUGG